rnacentral:rRNA from 1 species
AUGAAAUCUCUCGACAAUGCCAUGAUCAUCAUCAACGGUCUGAGCUCUUCCAGGAUAUCAAUCAAAUUCGUGAUGAGGAAUACCAUCCUUGCCCUCGAUGAUUUGUGUUAUCAUCGACAACAUUAUUGCCUCCCUUCCGACACAAACUUGAUCUUGUUAUGGAGCUCCUUGCUAUCCAGCUUAUGUUAUGUUCUACCUUGGGUACCACUAUCCUUUAUGUCAAGAAUGUCACGAGAAUUUCACCACCCCUUAAGAAUUCUUGAUACAAGUGAUAUUUAUUACCAUCACCAUUCUUUGCUUGGUCCCCAUGAUGUUUCUAACCGGAAUACCGACAAAUGGUCAGUGAUGUGUAAAUUCAAAACUUCUAGCAACCCUAUUGCUUUAAAACUAAUGUUCGAUAGCUCCAUUCUAAGUCUAUUUCUUAUUGAAUCAUCAUUCGAACAUUGA